rnacentral:rRNA from 1 species
CAGGCCUAACACAUGCAAGUCGAACGAUGCUUUCGGGCAUAGUGGCGCACGGGUGCGUAACGCGUGGGAAUCUGCCCUUGGGUUCGGAAUAACAGUUAGAAAUGACUGCUAAUACCGGAUGAUGACGUAAGUCCAAAGAUUUAUCGCCUAGGGAUGAGCCCGCGUAGGAUUAGCUAGUUGGUGGGGUAAAGGCCUACCAAGGCGACGAUCCUUAGCUGGUCUGAGAGGAUGAUCAGCCACACUGGGACUGAGACACGGCCCAGACUCCUACGGGAGGCAGCAGUGGGGAAUAUUGGACAAUGGGCGAAAGCCUGAUCCAGCAAUGCCGCGUGAGUGAUGAAGGCCUUAGGGUUGUAAAGCUCUUUUACCCGGGAUGAUAAUGACAGUACCGGGAGAAUAAGCUCCGGCUAACUCCGUGCCAGCAGCCGCGGUAAU